AGACGUCCACAUCGAUCCUGUUUCGAUCAAACAACUCGAUCUCGUUGGCGUUCCCAGGUGGCGACGCCGUACUCGAUCUCAUCGGCGUUCCGCAUUCCCAAGUUGGCGACGUCGGCGGAGGAUAUACAACCGUGCGGCGGUGGCUGACGGCGGUACAGAUAAGCGAUAUCUCUAAUCUUCCUAAAUGCUGCUCGUUCCUUCCUCCAAUGAUGGCUCCUUCCUCACCGGUCAUAGAUGCUGAUGCAUGAGGGUGAUCGACCUGGAGAUGCUGCCACCCAUUGGUGUCACCGGAGGAGAGGUCAGCGAUCUGGGUCGGCGGAGUGCAUGAGCAGGGCAUCCGUGGCAAAAUCGACGCGUCAUAGUAGCGGAGAUCAUCCAAAACAGCAGGGGCACAAGAGAAGAGAACCAGUUUAUCGAAAUUGCCAAAGAUAUAUUCCAGAAAUUUUGAUGCCUGUGAUUGAAUAUCUUGAUUGAAUAUCUUGAUGUCUAUAGAGAAGGAUUAUAUGUUUAUGUAGUUCGGUCCAUGCAUAUUUCAGUUUUCAGAUGCUAUUUUUUUCCUGUAGAUGCAUAUGCUGUUUUUUUUUUGGUAAAUUAUAUGCUGUUUGCCUGCUUUAAUUUA